GCCGAGGUGGUGAAAUUGGUAGACGCGCUGGAUUCAAAAUCCAGUGGGGGCAACCCCGUGCCGGUUCGAUUCCGGCUCUCGGCACCA
rnacentral:tRNA from 1 species